rnacentral:rRNA from 1 species
GUGCCAGCAGCCGCGGUAAUACGUAGGUGGCAAGCGUUGUNNNCAUUANNNNGNNUAAAANCGANNNNGNCGNUUUUUUANNUNNNNUGNGAANNCNUNNNGCUCANCNGAAGAAGNGCNUCNNAAACNNGGAAACUUGAGUGCAGAAGAGGACAGUGGAACUCCAUGUGUAGCGGUGAAAUGCGUAGAUAUAUGGAAGAACACCAGUGGUGAAGACGGCUGUCUGGUCUGUAACUGACGCUGAGGCUCGAAAGUAUGGGUAGCAAACAGGAUUAGAUACCCUGGUAGUCCAUCCUGUAAACGAUGAAUGCUAAGUGUUGGAGGGUUUCCUCCCUUCAGUGCUGCAGCUAACGCAUUAAGCAUUCCUCCUGGGGAGUACGGCCGCAAGGCUGAAACUCAAAGGAAUUGACGGGGGCNCGCACAACCGGUGGAGCAUGUGGUUUAACUNGAAGCUACGCGAAGAACCUUACCAGGUCUUGACAUACUAUGCAAAUCUAAGAGAUUAGACGUUCCCUUCGGGGACAUGGAUACAGGUGGUGCAUGGUUGUCGUCAGCUCGUGUCGUGAGAUGUUGGGUUAAGUCCCGCAACGAGCGCAACCCUUAUUAUCAGUUGCCAGCAUUAAGUUGGGCACUCUGGUGAGACUGCCGGUGACAAACCGGAGGAAGGUGGGGAUGACGUCAAAUCAUCAUGCCCCUUAUGACCUGGGCUACACACGUGCUACAAUGGAUGGUACAACGAGUUGCGAACUCGCGAGAGUAAGCUAAUCUCUUAAAGCCAUUCUCAGUUCGGAUUGUAGGCUGCAACUCGCCUACAUGAAGUCGGAAUCGCUAGUAAUCGCGGAUCAGCAUGCCGCGGUGAAUACGUUCCCGGGCCUUGUNCANACCGCCCGU